rnacentral:tRNA from 1 species
GGGAGUGUAGUUCAGUGAUAGAGUGCUUGCUUAGCAUGCACGAGGCCCUGGGUUUAAUCCCCAGCACCAUCA